rnacentral:rRNA from 1 species
GACGAACGCUGGCGGCGUGCCUAAUACAUGCAAGUAGAACGCACAGUUUAUACCGUAGCUUGCUCCACCAUAGACUGUGAGUUGCGAACGGGUGAGUAACGCGUAGGUAACCUGCCUGGUAGCGGGGGAUAACUAUUGGAAACGAUAGCUAAUACCGCAUAAUAUUAUUUAUUGCAUGAUAAUUAAUUGAAAGGUGCAAUUGCACCACUACCAGAUGGACCUGCGUUGUAUUAGCUAGUAGGUGAGGUAACGGCUCACCUAGGCGACGAUACAUAGCCGACCUGAGAGGGUGAUCGGCCACACUGGGACUGAGACACGGCCCAGACUCCUACGGGAGGCAGCAGUAGGGAAUCUUCGGCAAUGGACGAAAGUCUGACCGAGCAACGCCGCGUGAGUGAAGAAGGUUUUCGGAUCGUAAAGCUCUGUUGUAAGAGAAGAACGGGUGUGAGAGUGGAAAGUUCACACUGUGACGGUAUCUUACCAGAAAGGGACGGCUAACUACGUG